AUGAAGUGGAUUUCACAGGACUAAUUUGGAUGCCACCAGUUCAGGGUGGCACAUACAGUGACCAGAGAGUCACAGCCAUCUUUGCUUGAUCUUCUCACUAAUUUUCAGCAGGUAUCAUUUGUCAUAUCAUAUUGAACCUAUCAAUA